rnacentral:rRNA from 1 species
UACGGGGGGGGCAAGCGUUGUUCGGAAUUAUUGGGCGUAAAGAGCUCGUAGGCGGUCUGUCACGUCGGUCGUGAAAACUUGGGGCUUAACCCUGAGCUUGCGGUCGAUACGGGCAUGACUGGAGUUCGGCAGGGGAGACUGGAAUUCCUGGUGUAGCGGUGAAAUGCGCAGAUAUCAGGAGGAACACCGGUGGCGAAGGCGGGUCUCUGGGCCGAUACUGACGCUGAGGAGCGAAAGCGUGGGGAGCGAACAGG